GUAUCCUAGCAAGAAGAGAGAUUGUUUCAGUGACUCGAGCCCGUGACCACCGAAUCACAUAGGAACAACAUUGCCGUUGCGUCCAAGCUGUGGUCGCCAAUGCGCCCAGGCCGCCCUUCAAUUCUGGUACAGAGUGCAUUGUAAAAAUGGGCACCACUCGAAAUUUAACUUCAAACCCUGGUGAGAGUUUCAACACACACACACACACACACACAGGGAGAUAGCUGCAAUACUACAUUAACUUCAGGUUCCCCUUGAAUUGUUAUUCCACGUAAAAACACAGGUGAGAAAGCAACCAAAAGAAUCCUGCGACUGUAUGUGAAUUAUGAUGUGUGGAGAAAAGCAAAUAUUUAAUGGUUCACUCGGAACUACUCGAGUAAUAACUCUUGGAAAUCUGAAAGCCUUUUAAGUCUGACACUCUCAACUAAAUAGAGAAACAAGAGCAAAGUAGAGAGAACACAUCAUCUAAAUGUGAAUGGGCUUGUCAUAUGUGGCCAUGGCAGCCUCUUUCAGCGCCUCGCUCAUAGUCGGAUGCGCAUGGCACGUGCGUGCAAUGUCCUCACUUGACGCUCCAUACUGCAACGCCAGCACUGCCUCGUGAAUGAGCUCCCCAGCA